AUCAAAAGGAUCUAAGUCAAGAUCCAGUGUCACUUUUCCAGGCAGCAAAGUGGCUGAGCUCUAAAGCUUUCUGCAGGGAGAGGGGCUCAGGGCUUGUUCCCCCAACCCCAUUCUUAAAAGACCCUCCCUCCAUCUUUUUAAGACUAGAAGGGAGUCCCUGAUGAGCCUUGGGCCUGGUCUCUCCUUGCUGCAGCUCCACCGGUGGUCACCCAUCCAGAUCCUACCUUCUGGCGCACCUCGGACCCCUGAGCCUGUGCUCUCAGAACCCCCAGGGAGUGGCCAAUUCCCAUCCGAGCUUUCUGACUAUGCAGGCUGCUGCCCAAAGCUCCAGGGGUGAUACCAGCUGAGCCAGGCCUCAGCGCCACACUGCCCGCUCCCUUGGGUCUCCACCGGGGGCCUGCUCUACUUGAGGGGCUAUGCGCACAUCUCCUGGGAGCUGCAGGUGCAAGGAGGAGGGGCUCUCCAGGGCUGCAAGAGAAGGAGGCCCGAAAGGAGAAGGAUGCCAGAUGCUACCACAGCAGUGCUUGUCUAACUCCCCGCCCGGCUGGUGCCCAGGCUCUCUCUUUCUCUGAUGCAGCCUCUGGAUCUGUGUCUUGGGAGCAGCAGCGUUUCAAUCCCCCUUCCCCCGAGCAUGGACUACGUUCUUGGUUUUCGCUGCUUCCUCCAAGACCUUUCUCCUCACAGCCUUCCAACAGCACCACUUUUGAAGAACAUGCUCUGGUGUGUGUGGUGAGGGGGAUGGGGGGAUGGUGGUGGUGAAUCACUUCCUCCACGUGGCUACACUUCUGUCCUGAGACCCUCCCUCCCGUCAAAGGCACGCGGUGGGAGUUGCCCUCUCCUGGGAUGUUGGUCUCUCUGUGGGUGCUGCCCUCGACCUCAGCCCGGCCUCAUUCGAACGUGUCUGCAAAGGGCUUCUUUAUUAACAGUUCAAUUGUUUUGUGAGGUCCCAAAUCUAUCUCCAUGUAUCCAAAAAUCACAUGUUGAGUAGCUUAAGACAACCACAUUUAUGAUCUUACCACUCUGGAAGUCGCAAGUCUAAAAGGGAUC